rnacentral:rRNA from 1 species
GAGUCUGUUAGAGGUAGAGCUACCAAUUGGACUAGGGGGAGUCAAAUCCUACCAAAUCCAGAUGAACUCCGAAUGCUAACAGAUAUACACGGCAGUGAGGGCUUGGGUGCUAAGGUCCAAGUCCGAGAGGGAAAGAACCCAGACUAACAGCUAAGGUCCCAAAAUCUAACCUAAGUUGAACAAAGGAGGUUCAGUUGCAGAGACAGCCAGGAUGUUUGCUCGGAAGCAGCAAUUCAUUUAAAGAGUGCGUAACAGCUCACUGGUCGAGCGACAGAGCAUCGAUAAUAAACGGGCAUCAAGGAUAGUACCGAAGCUUUAGAUUUAUAUCCUCGGGAUAUAAGUGGUAGGGGAGCAUUCUAAGGCCGGUGAAGGCGGAACGUGAGUUGCGCUGGAGGGCUUAGAAAAGCAAAUGUAGGAAUAAGUAACGAUAAUAAGGGUGAGAAUCCCUUACACCGAUAGACUAAGGUUUCCUGAUCAACGUUCGUCGGAUCAGGGUUAGUCGGGACCUAAGGCGAACCCAUCGUAGUGGUGGGGCAGUCGAUGGACAACUGGUUAAUAUUCCAGUACUUGUGUAUACUGCUAUGGAGAGACGGAGUAGUGAAAAGUUCGCCUGGUGACGGAAUACCAGGUUAAAGCCAGUAGAUAUAUUUGGGGUAGGCAAAUCCGCUCCGAAUGUCGAAGGUGAUAGUACAACAAAGCUUCGGCCGCGUUGAUAGUAACUGUAAACAGACUUCCAAGAAAAUCUUCUAUGCUUCAGGUAUACACGACCCGUACCGCAAACCGACACAGGUAGUCAAGGAGAGAAUCCUGAGGUGCGCGAGUGAAUCACGGCUAAGGAACUCGGCAAAUUAACCCUGUAACUUCGGGAGAAGGGGUGCUUCCUCUAGCGAUAGAGAAGCCGCAGUGAAAAGUCUCAGGCGACUGUUUAACAAAAACACAUGGCUCUGCGAAAUCGAAAGAUAAAGUAUAGGGCCUGACACCUGCCCGGUGCCGGAAGGUUAAGAGGGGGGCUUAGCGUAAGCGAAGGUCUGAAUCGAAGCCCCGGUAAACGGCGGCCGUAACUAUAACGGUCCUAAGGUAGCGAAAUUCCUUGUCGGGUAAGUUCCGACCUGCACGAAUGGUGUAACGAUCUGGGCGCUGUCUCAGCCGUGAGCUCGGUGAAAUUGUAGUAGCGGUGAAGAUGCCGCUUACCCGUCACGGGACGGAAAGACCCCGUGCACCUUUACUAUAGCUUUGCAUUGAUUUUGGGUAAAUGAUGUGUAGGAUAGGUGGGAGGCUUUGAAGCGGGUACGCUAGUAUUCGUGGAGCCAACGUUGAAAUACCACCCUUUAUUUACUUGGAGUCUAACCCCUGAAUAGGGAAACAGUGCAUGGUGGGUAGUUUGACUGGGGUGGUCGCCUCCAAAAAAGUAUCGGAGGCUUCUAAAGGUUCCCUCAGUACGCUUGGUAACCGUACGUAGAGUGCAAUGGCAUAAGGGAGCUUGACUGUGAGACAAACAAGUCGAUCAGGUACGAAAGUAGAGCAUAGUGAUCCGGUGGUUCCGCAUGGAAGGGCCAUCGCUCAAAGGAUAAAAGGUACGCCGGGGAUAACAGGCUGAUCUCCCCCAAGAGCUCAUAUCGACGGGGAGGUUUGGCACCUCGAUGUCGGUUCGUCACAUCCUGGGGCUGGAGAAGGUCCCAAGGGUUCGGCUGUUCGCCGAUUAAAGUGGCACGCGAGCUGGGUUCAGAACGUCGUGAGACAGUUCGGUCCCUAUCUGU